GACAAACGCUGGCGGCGUGCCUAAUACAUGCAAGUAGAACGCUGAAGGAGGAGCUUGCUUCUCUGGAUGAGUUGCGAACGGGUGAGUAACGCGUAGGUAACCUGCCUGGUAGCGGGGGAUAACUAUUGGAAACGAUAGCUAAUACCGCAUAAUAGUAGAUGUUGCAUGACAUUUGCUUAAAAGGUGCAAUUGCAUCACUACCAGAUGGACCUGCGUUGUAUUAGCUAGUUGGUGGGGUAACGGCUCACCAAGGCGACGAUACAUAGCCGACCUGAGAGGGUGAUCGGCCACACUGGGACUGAGACACGGCCCAGACUCCUACGGGAGGCAGCAGUAGGGAAUCUUCGGCAAUGGACGGAAGUCUGACCGAGCAACGCCGCGUGAGUGAAGAAGGUUUUCGGAUCGUAAAGCUCUGUUGUAAGAGAAGAACGAGUGUGAGAGUGGAAAGUUCACACUGUGACGGUAUCUUACCAGAAAGGGACGGCUAACUACGUG
rnacentral:rRNA from 1 species